GAUGAACGCUGGCGGCGUGCCUAAUACAUGCAAGUCGAGCGAACAGACGAGGAGCUUGCUCCUCUGACGUUAGCGGCGGACGGGUGAGUAACACGUGGAUAACCUACCUAUAAGACUGGGAUAACUUCGGGAAACCGGAGCUAAUACCGGAUAAUAUAUUGAACCGCAUGGUUCAAUAGUGAAAGACGGUUUUGCUGUCACUUAUAGAUGGAUCCGCGCCGCAUUAGCUAGUUGGUAAGGUAACGGCUUACCAAGGCGACGAUGCGUAGCCGACCUGAGAGGGUGGUCGGCCACCCGGGAACUUAGACACGGUCCAGACUCCUACGGGAGGCAGCAGUAGGGAAUCUUCCGCAAUGGGCGAAAGCCUGACGGAGCAACGCCGCGUGAGUGAUGAAGGUCUUCGGAUCGUAAAAAUCUGUUAUUAGGGAAGAACAAAUGUGUAAGUAACUAUGCACGUCUUGACGGUACCUAAUCAGAAAGCCACGGCUAACUACGUG
rnacentral:rRNA from 1 species